UACGUAGGUGGCAAGCGUUGUCCGGAAUUAUUGGGCGUAAAGGGUGCGUAGGUGGCCAGGUAAGUUCGGUGUGAAAGCUCGGAGCUUAACUCCGAAAUGUCAUUGAAUACUAUCUGGCUGGAGGGUCGGAGGGGAGACUGGAAUUCUCGGUGUAGCAGUGAAAUGCGUAGAUAUCGAGAGGAACACCAGUGGCGAAGGCGAGUCUCUGGACGACUCCUGACACUGAGGCACGAAAAGCCAAGGGGGAGCAAACAGG
rnacentral:rRNA from 1 species